AACAUACCAUUUCACCAGAAAUGGCCCAAGGCGUUUAACACAUGGUAUUUACCAGAGAAAAAGCAACCAAUUUUUCUCUGUAUACACAAUCAUUCUAAGCUUAUAAAACAUUUAUUUAGGUAGUAAAGUGCUGACCGUUUUGAGAAUUAAAUUUUUGUUUAAAUAUGAGGUUUUGCUAGUAAAUCCAUCAAGGAAAUGCUAGCAUUUAGUAGUCUUGGACAGUCAAGGCGACAUGAGCAACACCAAUGUUGUCUGAUUACUAUUUUUCCGAUUUAACCAAAAAAAAAACCUCCAUGCAGGUUUUGCUUUGAAGAUUUAAGCUGGACCUGGCAACUAGCAUCAAAGAAUUGGGUCUUGUAUCUUGCGGAUGAAGUCAAAGCAGCCAACUGUUCCAACGGAAAUUUGAAGUAAUUGAAAACAGGAUGAUAUCUAUUAGUUAUUUAUACCAAACUUAUGGAAACCGGCAAGAAACUGUUGUUUAAGCUCUAUGAAUAGAGAACUUCCAGUUGCUGUUUUUCUGAAGUUUCUAAUUAGUUACAAGGAUGACAUAUUUUGGGUGUUAUGUCAAAUAAUGGCACCACUAUUUGAUGCUGCUAAUAGGGAAUUUUAAAGUAAAACCAAAACUAACCAAGGCUUUGUGUUUAAGAUCAGGACUUUGGCAAAGCAUACCGCUUGUUUAUCUGGCUGAGCUUUGGCUACUUGAAAAUUGAUAGAGCGCUUGAAAGAUGAGGUGAAAGAGUAUUGGUGUGUCAGCAUGGAGAAGUUCUUUGUAGUUCCUACCAAGUUCGCCAUGAAGAAAUUGCAAGGUCAUUUGAACAGAUGGGUCAUUUUUAAGUGGAUUGGAAGUCAUGACUUUCAUAAUUGGCCCUCGGGAUCCCUGGACACCACUGAACUUUUUAUGGCUGUGGCUUCCAGCCAACCACACCGGAUAUAUGCGUAUUAUAGACGCGUUUGAUACUGUAACCUCGCAAAUGAUGUCCAGUGUCAGCACUAAUCAACAUUCGAGAAUUUAUUAUUAUGUCGGGGUCACCGUCUCACUUCCUCAGUGGAAUGCUCUCCGCCUGACGAAAUAUUGAUCCAGCAUUCGUCACUGCACACUAAUGUCGGACGUUUCUGAGCCAUGAAUGUUGUUUUCUUCAUGAAGGAGAAGGGUCGGGGUGGAGUAGCGAGCACCUCUCAGUAUGUGGCCACGGUAUGAUAAUGCUUUGUUUUGCACUUUUGUUUGUUUAUUGCACGCGUUGGUUUUAAUCAUCUUUUAACUCUUCAUACUAGAAUUUGCACCAAUAGCAGUACCAGGGAAAGUCAUUAAUGCAGUCAUAAAAUAUUUAAAAUUUUCAUAAGAUCCACUAAACAGGCAUUACAGCAGAACCAGACCAAAUUGAAUAAAUGCAAUUAAUUGUCCGCCAAAUCUGAAUACUUUCCUAACACUGUUCGAUAGGUAAUAAAUUAAAUUAAAAAAACAUAUUUUAUUUUUAUCAGAUUAGAAUAUAUUUUUGGCCAUCUCAUUGGAAGAUUUUUUUCACAGCUGAAUUAUAAAAUAUGGUUAUGUUUACAGUUGACUGUAGGUUUUGCUUACAUACUUCUGUAUUUGCGUAAUUCAAAUUAGGUUACAUGUUGACAAAAUUUAAAUUUAUUAAAGAAAUUUUAAGGUUCAGUUAUAUGGCCACUUGUGAUGAGUAUGUAAUAAGAAGAUAGUAAUAUGAGACAUAUGCUUAUUCUGCUGCUUUAAUAAUAUAAAUACGCGCUCUAAUCGUAGGAUAAGACAGUCUUAAAGUCGCUUUGCAGUAGUAAUUAUUGUGUUACUUGUGUUUUAUUUUUAAAUGCGAAAUCCGUUGGAAGUAGUGUACCGGAUCGCCCUUGCGAAUCGAUAGUGAUUUGUGCGCUGGAUUACCCUUUUAUUGUCAGUGCCUUGGAUCGACGGUACGACACGCUUCCGUUUCAAUGGUUAAAGAAAGGAUUACAGAUCUACAUGGCAGAGCACUUGGGACUCCUGGUACCAUAGACUAUCGGUACGCCGUUCGAGAGCCAGCAGGACGAAUUGUUGUAACCCAGCGUCCACUACAACCAAUACCUCACUUGGGAAGUGAAUCUCACCGACGAACGUGUUGGUUGAUACAGAAACGAAACUAUGAACCUAUUGUAAGUUUUUACUGAAUUGUGUUCCUUACAGUUGUGAUUCCUGUUAGUUAAGAAGCAAAAAUUUUAAAUUUGUUGGUGAAAAUUUGAUGAAAAAAUUUAGAAAUAGAUUAUCGGAUAUUACUUAUGCUCGAAGAAAUAAUUCUACAAAUAAUCAACCGCGAGAUAUAGACGAACUUUACUCUAAUAUUUCUUUAUUAUAUUGUAUAGCCGAAAAUAAUUCUACUUUUGUAAAUACUAGUCUAGAAACCGAAACUGUUAGUGCAAUGGCCGACGCUUUGAGAUCAACCGUUAGUUUGCUAAAAACCUUUGAUGGUACCCCUUCUCGUUUGGAUUAUUUAAUUAAAUAAAUCGACACUUUUCGUGCAAGGUAUUUUAAUAACGAUGUAUCGCAACAAGAAUACGUUAUUUUGGCAAUUAAAUCAAAAAUACUAGGAACAGCAAAGAUUUUUUAUUAACUCGACCAGACCUUACAACUUGGGUCGAGAUAAGAUUAGAGUUGAGAACGUUACUUAUAGUUCAAAAUCCUCAAAAUCUAGAUAAUGCUAUUGACAUUAUUACAAGUUACGAAAUUCUUACAAGUCAAAGUCAGUUUAGAAAUAAUUAUUUACAAAAUAAUAACCUAAUGCGGCACAAUAUAUAGAAACCAAUCAUUCAUAUUUUGUCCAACACCCAAAGAGUAUUUAACAGCCCACCAAUUCAACUCUAUAGUCAAUCGAAUUUACCUUUCAAUCCCCUCAUCAAAUGUCACAUCAAAAUCAAUUCUUCAAGCCACAAAAUCAAUUUUUCAAACCGCAGAAUCAAUUCUUUAAGCGACAAAACCAAUUUUUCAGGCAACCCUUUCAGCAACUCCACACCUCUAAUCAAAACAACACCCAGAACUCAAAAAAUCAAUAGCCCCAACCAAUGUCAGGUGUAAGUAUACAACCUAAAAAGCCAUUUUCUCAAAUAAGACCACAAUACAAUAAUUUCCAAAAACAGCGACAUUAACCCCGAAACUAACGAAACGCAAGCCGAUUUAACCGACCUUAACGAAUACGAUUAUUACUGUUAUUACGACCCAAACUACGAAAAUGUUGAACAGUUCAAAAAAGAAAAUAGCAUCGUUGAUCAAUUAGAAAAUUUUCAGUCAGUAGACUCGGACCAAGCAAACCCUGUUUAACCCUAAAUAGUUUUCAAAUAAAACAGUUACCCUACGUCGAAGUCCCUAACCAUCAAAUCCGUUUACUUAUCGAUACAGGUUCCAAUGCAUCUCUUCUUAGACCCUCUUUAGCAGAAACUUAGUUUUCCGAAUUAAUUAAACCUUACGUAAAUACCCUUCAAACAUGUGCAGGUUCAAACAAAGCUACACAUAAAGCAACUAUCCCAUUAUUUACUUGCUUUGGUAUCACCGAACCGAUUGAAUUUAUUCUUUACCCAUUUCAUGAAUAUUUUGACGGUAUUUUAGGAAUUAAAGAUCUUUGUAAACUAAAUCUAAAUAUUGAUUUAAAGAAUACGAAGUUAAAAGCCAUUAUAUAGAAAUUCCCUUUCAAUAUAGAACAAAUUUCGACGACUACGUAGUAGAAAUUCCCCCACCCCAAAAACUAUACAAAAAGCAACACUUAGGACUAAUCUACCCAAUAAUAAUAACCUAAUAAUACGACAUGGAUAAUGCCCUACUAUCGUGAAGAUGAAAUUGAAAUACAAGCAACCCUUGUUACGAUUACAAAUAAUUCCUAUACUAUCGAUAUAUUUAAUCAUUCGAAGGUAGCGUUAAUAAUAACUUACUUUUAAAACCAUUUGAACUUAACAACUUUGAAAUAUUUAAUUUAGAAACACCAGUUCUGAAUAGUCCAACGAUAGAAAAAAUGAUAUUGGAAAUUUAAUACCACACGAUCAUCUAAAUUCGAAGGAGAAGGAACAGCCUUUUAAAUUCAUAAGAACAUUCGGAGUUACUUUAACUUUUGCAAAUGAAGUAAAACACACAAUUAAAACUAGCGACGAAAUUCCCGUACAUGCGAAACAAGAAGUCAAUAGACAAAAAGAAGAAAUGUUACAGGAAGGAAUAAUUCAACCCUCAAGUUUCACUUGGAAUUCACCAGUGUGGAUUGUACCAAAGAAAGCAGACGCAUCUGGACGUAGAAAAUGAAGACUCGUCAUAGACUACAGAAAAUUGAAUCAGAAGACUAUAGACGAUAAAUACACAAUACCUAAUAUCAAUGAUAUACUGGAUAAACUAGGACGAUGCCAAUAUUUCACAACGUUGCACCUCGCCAGUGGAUUCCACAAAAUCGAAAUGGAUCCUGAAAGCAUCCCGAAAACAGCAUUUAACAUAGAGCAUGGACAUUACAAAUAUACACGUAUGCCAUUUGGUCUUAAAAACGCACCCUCUACAUUUCAGCGCGCAAUGGACAAUGUAUUGCGUGGAUUACAAGGAAAAAUAUGUCUCGUGUAUAUGAUGACAUCAUUAUAUACUCGACCAGUCUUCAGGAACACAUGGACUCAUUAAAAUUAGUCUUUGAACGACUUGCAUCCUUCAAUAUGAAAAUACAAUUGGAUAAAUCUGAAUUCCUAAAGAAAACAGUCUAAUUCUUGGAGCCAUUAAAUAUUUUAAAAUUCCCAACACUCCUUAAGAAAUUAAAUCCUUCCUUGGUCUUGUCGGAUAUUACAGGAAAUUCAUAAAAAAAAUUGCUAAAAUUACUAAACCACUGACACAUUGCUUAAAGAAAAACGUUAAAAUAACCCAGGAUAAAGCGUUUAAUCUUUGUAAAAAAAUCUUAACUAAUGAUCCUAUACUCCAAUAUCCGGAUUUCAAUAAACCCUCCAUCUUAACCACAGACGCAAUCGGAGCAAUUCUUUCACAAGGAAACAUUGAAACUGAUCUACCGAUAGCAUACGCUAGCCGAACACUUAAUUCUGCAGAGCUUAACUACUCUACAAUAGAAAAAGAAGUUCUUGCCAUCAUGUGGGCCACAAAGUACUUUCGACCUUAUCAAUUUGGUAGAAAAUUCACUAUAGUAUCAUAAACCUUUACAAUGGCUCUUCUCCAUUAAAGAACCUAAUACAAAUGAGUCAGGUGGAACUAAAACUUCAGGAAUAUGAAUACACUAUUCAAUAUAAAAAAGGCAAACAGAAUGUCAACGCUGACGCCCUCUCACGACCAUCAAAAGAAAUACACCCCGUAGACCUAGUAAAACACCCACUAACACUUAUGUCAGCUGUAUGUGAAGAAGACGAGAAAAAAGAUGACCAAUAUUUAUGGCACGAAAAGAUUAAACAUUUCUUCGAAUCACAGGAAAACCUGUUUGAAAAAUCGCAAAAAGGUCUGAACGAGUUUGAAAAAUUUGAUCAAAAUUGGAAACCAAUCGAACACUCGGAGAUAAUUAAGGAAAUUCAAGCAAAUAUUUUUGAUCAACAAAAUUAUAAAAUAGAACAAGACAUUACUGUAGAUUUUAAACAAAAAUUUAACAACCUACAAUAUCUUACCGAUAAACUCUAAACCAGGAGAAAUAGCAACAUUAUUUGACAAUAAAAAUAAUCGUUUUAUUUAUUAUCUAGUCACUAAAGAAAAAUCUAACCAAAAACCAACCUCCUAUAUGCUUUGGAAAACCUUAAUUAAUACGAAAAACCAUGCAAGAGAGAAUCAUGUUACACGAAUAGCAAUCCCUAAACUAGGAUGUGGACUAGACCAAUUGGAUUGGCUAAAGGCAAAAUCAAUGAUUAAUCACCUAUUCCAAAAUCAAAAUAUUCAAAUAUUCGUAUGUCACUGUUCGAAAAAGAAACCCAAAAUUAAGAUAAUUUCGGAUAUUCAAAUAAGACCUCCAAAUACAGUUAAAAAGACAUUACAGCCCGAAAAACUAGAAGAACAAAAUAACCCAUCUACAAGUAAAGAAGGUCACGAAAAGGUAGAUAACUCUGAAAUGGACACGGUUCAUUCAUCUAGGGAAAAUCCAAUUAUAGGAGCUCCAUAUGUCAAUAAAGCCCUUAAUACCUUUAAAAAUGAAAUUCUAUUUAGAUGGACUGAUUUAACACAACCUCAUGCAAGAACAGACACUUACUGUUUACAUUUCCUUAGUAAGGAAAUGGAACUAAUAAUUAUAAGAACUUUCUAGGAAAGGUUUAAAAACAAUGCAUUUAAACUCCUCAUUUCUAACACGUUACUCGAAGAUGUUAAAGAUCAAAACGAACAGAAAGAAAUAAUAGAAAGAUAUCGCACUACAAAGACAUCACAUCGAGGAAUGACAGAAAACAAAAAAUAUUAAGCAAAAAUAUUAUUGGCCAAGCCUGGAAAGAGACGUAAUAAAUUUCGUUAAUACAUGCGAAAUAUGCCAAAAAACGAAGUAUGAUAGACAUCCUUAUAAAAUCGUUUACAAACUUAUACCAAUCGGAACUAAACCCUUAGAACAUAUUUAUAUGGAUAUAUACUCGAUAUUCAGGGCAAAAAUAUCUUACAAUAAUAGAUAACUUCUCUAAAUUUGCAGCAGCAUACCCAGUAAUGAAACUUCCCUCGAAAUAUGUCAUAGCUUAACUAAAUUCUUCUCCAAGUAAAAUUACUAUGAAUAACGCACAAGCUUUAAAAGUAACCUAGUACAAGACUUAUGUAAAACGUAUCGAAUCGAGUUACAUUUCACUACCCCGUAUAAUCCAAAUUCAAACUCACCAGUCGAAAGCUUCCAUUCAUCCCUUACAGAAAAUCUAGUCACUCUAAAAAAUGAACAUCGUACCAAAACGAUCCAAGAGCGAAUGGAUAUCGCAAUAUUAGUAAACAUUCUUCCCAUGAGUAUACUCCUUUCCAAAUUCUAAAAGGAAAUCUAAACCAUCAAUGAAAUUUUGAGAAAAACCUAAAUCAAUUGCAAACAGAUUAUGUGUAUGAACUUGCGCAAAUCUUUACGGAACUUAAUGAAAAAAUAAAUUUAAAACUUAAUGCAAAAAAGGCAAAUGUUUUAGCAAAACUAAAUCAAAAACGCGAAAAUGACCUCGAAAUACCCCAAGGUACUAAUCAAUUAAUAAAUACACCUCGGAAGUUUACACAAAAAUUACAACCUAAAUAUAAACUAAUUCAAUUUAAAAAUCAAAGACACCUAAAGAUGUUAAAAGACAUUUAUAAUUUUAGGUAAGAAUGAAGAUUGCCAUUCUCCUGCUGCCGCUAAUCGUAUAUACCCCAUACCAAUUAAUAAUAAAAUAUCCGUUAUAUACAAUCCCUAUCUUUUGAAAUCGACAGACGAUUUCUUUAACCUAAAGGAAAACUGCUAUAAAAUCACUCCAAUAACCUGCUUAAUAAAAACGAACCCUGUAUUCCGCAAACAAUUAAUUUAUCUAAUCAUUGUCCAAUGAUUCCUCAGCCUCAACUACCCAGUUAAAUGUAUUGUAGUUAUCCCAAAUUCCCAAGAAAAUAUAUAUUUUUAUUGCCCAAAUCAAAAGUGUUGAAAUAAUAAAUAAAGCAUCUUUAAUUCUGCCCGCAGAGUGUAAUGUUAAAAUUAAAAAUUAAAAAAAAUGUCUCAAAAAGGAGACAUAAUUAAUUUAAGACUAAAACCUCCGUCAAUAGUUUUUAAUGAAAAAUUGUUUCAUAAUAUCGAACCACUAAAGAGAAAUUAAUGUUGAAAAUAUAAAAGAAGAUAUGGAAAGUGCUCGAAACCUAGCAAAUCACCGUCCUAAAACCCUUAACUUUUGUAAACUCUAGUGUUUCAAUUACUGUAAUACCUACUAUUAUAAUUAUACUAAUAAUCUAUUUUAUUAUUACCUAAAAAUAAAAUAAAAUUUAAAGGUGGGCAUAGAACUAGAAACUAUUCGAAAAUGAACCCCGAUUUUCUCAAACUUUAGGAGGUAGGAGUUAUAUGGCCACUUUUGAUGAGUAUGUAAUAAGAAGAUAGUAAUAUGACACAUAUGUUUAUUCAGCUGCUUUAAUAAUAUAAAUACGCGCGCUAAUCUUUGGAUAAGACAGUCUUAAAGUCGCUUUGCAGUAGCAAUUAUUGUGUUACUUGUGUUUUAAAUAAAAAAUCAAAUUUUUUCUUUGUUUAAGUUAAUUUCUUGUAGAUGGAAACUUUAUUUAAAGACAGGAAGAUUGGUAGGCAUAUAAUCAAAAUCUGGAAAAUAAUACGUUAGAUUCUGGUAAUUUCUUUCUUGCAGUUCACAAUAGUUGUCUCGUCGAUUUUCAUUUGGCAUCCGGUUUGCAAGGUUAGAAACUAACUCCCUUCUAACUUCUGAUGCUCUUCUUGGUCUCUUGCUUUUAGGCAAAAUCAGUAGCCAUAUGUUGGAAUUAUCCAGUCAGUUUAUUAUUGGUCUGCUAACAGUGACGUAGAUUUCUUCGCAGGUAGUAGGUUUGGAUGAUUGCAGCAAGGAAUCUUCGUUCUAAGUUCUUUAACAUUUCCUUGCGGACAUAGGUACACUGACGUCGUCAUUUCUUUACAGGGACUUCUUCGAUAUAUAUAGUGUAAUUGAUUUAUGAUUAAAUAUUUAUUACGCCAUUUAGCAACCUUAAAGAGACUCUGAUGUUUAAGAGGGGCAGAAUACAAAUGAAAAUAUUCAAAUUCAUUUUGAUUUAUUGUUGAAAUAUGCAAUAGAUAAGUUAUCCUAUUAUUUAGAAUAAAGCUAUCGAUAGUAAUCAAUUUUUCAAAAUGUAUUAUGGUUUCCAAGCUAAUAGGCAAGGGCAUUUUAUUUUUUCUCAAUUGUUUAAGUU